CAGGCCUCGCUGCUGGCUCCCGGCUACGCUUCCGUCCGUGGCGCUCCGUGGCGUGGGGCUAUGCGGCCCCCUCUGUCUUCUUCACGGGGCCAGUUCCUCUCUGCGACCCAAAUCUCCCUCCUCUCUCUGCGUGGGGCCAUGGCCUUUUCUUGGAGUAUGGGUCGCUGCCGGGAACUGUCGGUCCUUCCUAGUGCAAACCACACCCGUGGUCACGGUCUGGGAUUUCCAGGUUGGGUGUGCCCAAAGCAGGAUGCAUAGGAAUAAUAACUCAAUGGGACAUACUCACUGCUUUUGUGGAAGAUGCCAGGCUCCCCUUGUGACGCCGCUGUGUGUGGGCCAGGAAUACAGAAGAUGUCUUCCCAGGAAACUGUGAUAUGGCCUCUGCUGAGUCAGUGCAUGGUGCCUCAGUUUACCCCCGUAAGUGGGAUGUGAGCACUGCCCUACCACAAACAACUCUAGGGAGUACUUGGUGAGAGACAGACCUCUCCCAGCAGCGCCUGGCCUACGGAGUUGCCUGGAGAAACCGUGUUGGCGCCAGGGAGGUCACUGCCCCUGUGUCCACGUGGGCAGGACGAGGGCUCACUGCAGAAACAGAGUCUUCACGUCCCCUCCCUGCUGCCAGCCGGGUUGGAGAAGAGAGAGAAACA